GCUGAAUUUAAGCAUAUCAUUAAGCGGAGGAAAAGAAACUAACAAGGAUUCCCCCAGUAACGGCGAGUGAAGCGGAAGAGCUCAAGCUUAAAAUCUCCAUGUUUUCAUGGCGAAUUGUAGUCUAUUGAGGCUGUUGUCAGCAUAGCGAUCUGGGACAAGUCCCUUGGAAAAGGGCAGCAUAGAGGGUGAUACUCCCGUCUCUGCUCAGAUUGUCUGUGUGUACGAUACGCUUUCUUUGAGUCGAGUUGUUUGGGAAUACAGCUCAAAGUAGGUGGUAAAUUCCAUCUAAAGCUAAAUAUUGGUGCGAGACCGAUAGCGAACAAGUACCGUGAGGGAAAGAUGAAAAGAACUUUGAAAAGAGAGUUAAAGAGUACCUGAAACUGUUGAAAGGGAACCGUAACAUUUCCAGUGUUGUAUCCUGUGCAUAUUUCAUUAGCGGAGUAAUUUGCUGGUGCCCUGUGCAUGGGUGUGACGUCAGGGUCAGUUUGUAUGCUGCGGGAGAUGGUUAGUAAGGAGGUGCGUCACUUCGGUGAAAGUUAUACCUUGCUAUCUAGUAGCCGUGGUUGAGACUGAGGUGCCUACAACAUGCCUUGAGGUUCGGUGUUGUCUCGUUGUGGUGACUGCUUGGAUAGCUUGCUAUGUCUGUGGUUAAUUAUGGCGAUUGAUGAUGUCGAUAACUUCUGCUGUCGGGACUCUGGCGAAUGGAG
rnacentral:rRNA from 1 species